rnacentral:antisense_RNA from 1 species
AAUAACCAAAUAUAACACUUGGGCUAGUGUUAAGUUGGUUAUUUUUCUUACAUCUCCCCCCCCCAGGAGCCCAGGUGUCAUAUACACCCCCAAAAUAAAGAGCCUUGAAUACUAGAAGAAAAGCACCUAUCCCUAACAAAAUUAGAUGAAUACCUAAAAUUGUGGUCAUUUUAUUUCUAUCUUUCCA